GAGAUCAGCCUUCCAAGACACUUACAAU
rnacentral:sRNA from 1 species